GACGAACGCUGGCGGCGUGCCUAACACAUGCAAGUCGAACGGAGUGUUUAUUUAUAAACACUUAGUGGCGAACGGGUGCGUAACGCGUAGACAACCUACCCUCUAGAUGGGGACAACACCGCGAAAGUGGUGCUAAUACCGAAUGUUGUAAUGUUGUUGCACAAUGAUAUUACUAAAGGUGGCCUCUAUAUAAAAGCUACCGCUAGAAGAUGGGUCUGCGUCUGAUUAGCUAGUUGGUGAGAUAACAGCUCACCAAGGCAAUGAUCAGUAGCCGGUCUGAGAGGAUGAACGGCCACACUGGGACUGAGACACGGCCCAGACUCCUACGGGAGGCAGCAGUGGGGAAUCUUCCGCAAUGGACGAAAGUCUGACGGAGCAACGCCGCGUGAGUGAAGAAGGUUUUCGGAUCGUAAAGCUCUGUCUUCAAGGACGAAUGUAGAUAUUGUGAAUAAUGAUAUUUAAUGACGGUACUUGAGGAGGAAGCCACGGCUAACUACGUGCCAGCCGCCGCAGUAA
rnacentral:rRNA from 1 species